GACGAAGGUGGCAAGCGUUGUUCGGAUUCACUGGGCAUAAAGGGCGCGUAGGCUGUUCCGCAAGCGGCUCGUGAAAUCCUCUGGCUCAACCAGAGAAGUGCGGGCCGGACUGCGGUGCUUGAGGGCGGUAGGGGAGAGUGGAACUCUCGGUGGAGCGGUGAAAUGCGUAGAUAUCGAGAGGAACACCGGUGGCGAAGGCGACUCUCUGGUCCGCCCCUGACGCUGAGGCGCGAAAGCGUGGGUAGCAAACAGG
rnacentral:rRNA from 1 species